AGGAUACAACCACAAUGGAAAAUUGAAAACUGUAAAUAAAGAAUAAGGAAGCUCCUUAGGUACUGAAAUGAUCUGGUGGAUACAGUACAUAAGUGGAAACAAGCUUUGGAAUUUUUAGAUGAAUGUGUUGCCUAUUCAAAAAAUAAAUACAUAAAAUAUGUAGAAAGGAUGAGAUUGGAAGAAAAGGUGAUCAGAACAUCAAAAUAAGAAACGAAGACACCAUUACUCCUCUCAAGAACUCACUAUGUAGCAAGAGAGACAGCUAAAGAAGAGAUUACAACACUGGCCUUGGGUCUCUGGAGUAAUGAGAGCUGUGAUACAGAGACCUGCACAGCUGGCAAGAGUGCCCAUAGGAGCGGGGCCUUCAAAACGGAACCGCUAAACUGAGUAAUCAUGGAAUGUUCAUCCUGCAGGAAGCGUGAACAAAACGAGGUCGUACCGACUGAGAAGUUGGUGGCGUGAUUCCCGCGAGAAUUGACGAGAUCGAGUCUUGGGCAAGGGUGGUGGGAGGAGGCCCCCGGGGCGGAAGGCGCUUGGCUCCCCUCCGAGCCCCUCUGUGAGGGCGGGGCAGGAAAGAAUGGCCUAAGAGCCUUGACUUGGCGGUGUGAUUGCCCAAGACCGAGGGAAGAGGAAGAGGCCAGCGGGGAGGACAAGAAAUUCAGUUCCGGGUGUGGAUUGGAGGGGUUUGGGGGAGAUCCAGGCAGGAUGGAUGACUAAUUGGGUGGACACGUGAAUCGCGCUGGGGAAGGGGUCUGGCCCGAGCAUGGAUUGGUGAGCGUGGGCGCCAGGUAGUAGGGGGUGGUGGAUGAUGCACCAAAACAGAGCGGGUAACAAAGUGAGAAGGGUGCCAAGUCCGAAACCUGGAAUGGUGCCCCCUCUAGCCGGUCAGGAGACUUAAAGAGGAAAGAGACCUGGUGACGGACUGAGAAAGAGGAUUCCCAGAGCGGGGGACGGGGGUUAGAGGGCUAGGAGAGAGUGGGGUCUUGGAACUCACCGAAGCUGCCUUUGGAAAUGGGACCCAGACCGUUUGCAGAGUACUUCCAACCCAAGAGCUUACGUGGUCCUCCCAAUAGCAAGGAGACUGGGGUCAGAGAGUCUCCUGCUGGCUCUGAGGAAGAAAGCUGCCAUGUUGUGAUUUGCUUAUGGAGAAGACCCAUGGCAGGGAGCAGCAGGGGCCUCUGGGAGCUGAGACUCGCCCCUAGCUGACAGCAAGAAAACAGGACCCUCAGUCCGGUGUCUGGAAGAAAUUCUGCCAAUACCUGCAUCAGCUUGGGAGAAGAUCCUGGGCUCCAGUAAGAAACAGAGCCACGCCAGCAUCUUGACUGCAGGCUUGUGAGACGCCACAGGGGACUUGGCUAAGUUGAACCCAGACUCCUCACCCACAAAAACUAUGAAAUAACAAAUGUGUGUUGUUUUAA